UACGAAGGGUGCAAACGUUGCUCGGAAUUAUUGGGCGCAAAGCGCACGUAGGCGGCCUCGCAAGUCGGUUGUGAAAUCUUAUGGCUUAACCAUAAAAGUGCAUCCGAAACUGCAGUGCUUGAGUACUUAAGAGGAUCGCGGAAUUCCCGGUGUAGAGGUGAAAUUCGUAGAUAUCGGGAGGAACACCAGUGGCGAAGGCGGCGAUCUGGGAAGAUACUGACGCUGAGGUGCGAAAGCGUGGGGAGCAAACAGG
rnacentral:rRNA from 1 species